rnacentral:rRNA from 1 species
AGCAGCCGCGGUAAUUCCAGCUCCAAUAGCGUAUAUUAAAGUUGCUGCAGUUAAAAAGCUCGUAGUUGAAUUUCGGGACUAAUAUGUCGGUCGUGCCUCGGUACGUACUGGUUUAUUGGUUUCUCCUUUCUGAAGAACCAUGAUGUCAUUUAUUUGGUGUCGUGGGGAAUCAGGACUGUUACUUUGAAAAAUUAGAGUGUUUAAAGCAGGCUCACGCUUGAAUACAUUAGCAUGGAAUAACGAAAUAGGACGUUCGAUCCUAUUUGUUGGUUUUUAGGAUCAACGUAAUGAUUAAUAGGGAUAGUUGGGGCAUUAGUAUUCAAUUGUCAGAGGUGAAAUUCUUGGAUUUAUUGAAGACUAACUACUGCGAAAGCAUUUUGCCAAGGAUGUUUUCAUUAAUCAAGAACGAAAGUUUAGGGGAUCGAAGACGAUCAGAUACCGUCGUAGUCUUAAACCAUAAAACUAUGCCCGACUAGGAUCGGAUGAUG